UGGGGAAUUGUUCGCAAUGGGCGCAAGCCUGACGACGCAACGCCGCGUGGAGGAUGAAGGUCUUCGGAUCGUAAACUCCUGUUGAUCGGGACGAAAAGCUUCAACCUAAUACGUUGAAGACUGACGGUACCGGUUGAGGAAGCCACGGCUAACUCUGUGCCAGCAGCCGCGGUAAUACGUAGGGACCAAGCGUUGUUCGGAUUUACUGGGCGUAAAGGGCGCGUAGGCGGCUUAACAAGUCACUUGUGAAAUCUCCGGGCUUAACUCGGAACGGCCAAGUGAAACUGUUAAGCUAGAGUGCAGAAGGGGCAAUCGGAAUUCUUGGUGUAGCGGUGAAAUGCGUAGAUAUCAAGAGGAACACCUGAGGUGAAGACGGGUUGCUGGGCUGACACUGACGCUGAGGCGCGAAAGCCAGGGGAGCAAACGGGAUUAGAUACCCCCGUAGUCCCUGAGCGGGCUGGCAAGGCGCAU
rnacentral:rRNA from 1 species